ensembl:lncRNA
CCCGGCCGGGAGCGCGGGGGGCCUUCGGGCUACCAUGGCGACGCGGUGGGGCUUCGCGUUUCCAUGGCGACGCGGUGGCGCAAGAUGGCGGCCUGAAGGGAUGCGAGAAGCAGGCCGCGGAGGCAGGCCCAGGGCCCCGUCUGCGGGACUCCUUAACAAAGCAGCGUUAAAGCAGCAACACCACGACGCCCCGGCCAUUUGUAGGUCAGAGUUAGGCAGUUUCAGUGAGAUAUUUUCCCCACAGCAUCUCAGAACUGUGUUUGUAGAGGCACAGAAAGCACAUCUCUGGGACCUGUACAGUAAGGGAGAUGUGAGCCCGGGGCAUGUGUUCUCUGGCAAAUAAUUGUGGAGACCUAACCUAUACAGAAUAACAAAGAAAUGUGAGAUUAAAUGUGAGAAACGAUUAUUUCAGUGCUAACAAAGUCAGGUGUCCCUUUCUGGGAGGGAUGGGCUCCUGAUGUAGCAAUAUUCUCUCUCUAGCCAUGAGAGCAUGCGUGUUUUCCAGCCAGCCCAAACUGUAGCGGCUGCUUGAGGCCUAUCACAGGUCUUGCAGAUGAGCCUACCUCCCUCUGGGAGAACAUCAGGUGGAACACACAAGCCUCAGGCCUGGCUGAAGCAGUCCAGUGGGCUGGAGGCUUAAAUACAUCAUCAGCAAUAAAAGGGGGGUGUUCUUCAGUGCCUAACAACAUCCCUUGUGGUUUCCAGUCUGCGAGGGAGUAGUCAAGCUCUGAAGAAUUGCUGUCUCCUAAAACAAACUCAUUAUUUGAUGGCCACGUAUGAGUUCACAAUUUAUUGUGGCGGCACUUCUAACUGCUCCUGCAUGACUAACACAUCUCAUAAAUACCAACCCUACUCAGAGGAGAUGGAGUCCUGGGCUGCCACUCGCAUGCAGGUUUCAAAUAUUUCUGCUGGGAUUUGGCCUUUGGGGAGCAGGCACAUCACUAUUUUUCACCAGCAGCUUGGUUGUGGGCCAGGGUGAAACAGAGACAUGGCAGACAUCCAGUGGAGAAGAAGCAGAGCACGUUUAUCUCCAUUCUGUCAUAGACAUCACUGGGUCUGUUCAUGGUCAUCACCAACCAGGGGCUUGAGGGUGCAGGACGGCCCCUCAGGCCGGAUUACAGCUUGCUCUGGGAAACUUUACCGAGCACAGAAGAGAUUGAAUGAGAACCAUAAUCCUGCCUUGACUCACAUGCUCUCAAAAUCCAGGAAGCCCAGAUAGCAGAACCAGGUGUCAACUGGAAUUUUACGAUGCAUCAGUGCUAGCCAGCCUCAUAGGACACUUAAUUCCCUUGUAGAUGCCUGUACUGGAAUCAGGAAUCUAAAUCUGUCUUGAUACCUAAAUCCCUGCCAUGGGCUGUGCCGAAACCACAGGUACCAACUGAACGAGCCUCAUGAAGCACUAACUCCAGACCUCAUUCCUGAACCUUAGUUCUUUCUUCUCUUCCAAGUUUUAAUGCUGCAAACAAAAAUGAAGCACCAUAUUCUCUUUAUUGCAGCAGAUAUUCCAGGCAUAAAACUCCCAUGUGUUUUAUAGAAAAAGUAUAAAGACUUUUGAGUUGUUAACUACAAUGCUAUAGGCAAAGCAGCAAUCUGCUUUAACAGUUUCCAUCAGCCAAAGGUUUAAUUACCAGCAGUUGGGCCAGCCUUCUCCAGGAACAAUUAUAACCCAGUGAAGUCAUUUCACAGGGCAUUUACCAGCAGCAGAUUCAGCAAAUGGAGGCUGUUCGUGUUCCCUGGCUGAUUAAAGGCCUGUGAGCUUAGCAUGAAACUAAUGUUUGACACCUAGGAAAAAGUAUUUUCUAAGCAAACACAGGUUGGACAAGGCUGAAUGAAGAGAAAAUAGAAACCUUAUUUUCCAUUCCCACUUUGGGAUAGAGAUGACAACCCAAACCUUCCUUUUACAUCUGGGGCCAGGUUGGAUUUACAUAUCAUUUUGUGAUUCAAGAGCUGCUACCUCAUGAGAAGACCUGGUUAAGUCCGUGCCUUCGGUGUCUGUUUUCUGUUGGUCUAUUUAGCCUGCUGUCUCCUGAAGCUGCAAGUAGCAUGAGAUCACAUUUUGUUCUUUUGAGAUUCCCAGAUCAUGAUGGACUUGUCAUCACAGACCGGCAAAUCUGACUCUCUAGGGCGGGCCUCAGGGUCAGACCUCAGCUGACAUUUCAACCCAGGAUGGACACAAUUUGUACCAGGACCUUCCUGACACUGGUUUAGUUCAAACUGCAUUUUUGUUUUUCAGAGCCAAAUCACCAUGUCCAGCCAAGCCAGGUUAACGUGUGAGCAAGGAGCCAGCCCUGCCUUUUGAGAAUUAAUUUCUCCUUUAGAGGACACUUUUCACAUUCAUGCUAUGAAAGUUUCUUUUGCUGAUUCUCAGCUGCACUAUCCAGGAGGUUCUGAACCUAAGAUGAGUAAUUAAUUCAAGUAAUUAACUUCUCAGCAUGGCACUGAAAACGAGCGCACUUGAGGCCCUCCUCCCCUGCAGCCUGGUGAAGGCAACUGGAAUUUUCUUGUGGUCCAGGAGAACGUGGAUUAGAUAACUGAGAGCAUAGCAUCAGCACUGGUCUCUGCAUUCAGCUUCUUUUUUUUUUUCCUGGCUAAAUACCCCCCGAGACUCUCCAUUAAGGAACACCAGACACAGAAACCAAGGUGGAAAUCAGUCUCAUUGAGCCCCAGGACCUGAUCCAAACCAGCAUGCAAGCCUGUGCUUAACCUCAGCCACGUGCUAGAGCCACAGCCUUUAACCAAGCCUCACCAGGGCAGUGCCAAGAAGACGCCUGACUCAGCAUCAACAUACCUCUAAUCCAGCAUUAGGAAUAUGGAGCUCAGCACAUAGCAGGAUGAGGCUCCCUGUGCCAUGAGAUAGACAAUCACAUGGGUUAAUCACUGUAUUACAGGAUCUCAGCUCCAGGAUAGGCUAACAGAGGUGCUGUAUGCCCCGUUCCGCCUUGGCCUCAUCUUCCCAGCAUCUGUUCUCCUAAGCUGGAAUCAAAUGAGCACCAUCAUUUCUGGCACUGCAGCAGUCUUGGCUUUCUGGAAUUUCUUAAAGGGAAAGAGAAACUCACUUAUCUAAAGAGCUAACAGGUGAGAAAACUACACUGGAAGACUGCUUCUUAAACCCUGGAAACCAGUGGUUUUCAACAUUGUUUGAUUUGCAGACCUUUAUGCAUUUCAUAGCAAAGAGGUACACUCUUACAUAGGAAGUUUAAGGCUAUGACCUCAUCUCCUCUGAGCCACCAUUCACAGAACCCUCAGGGGCAAUCCUGUGACCCUUACAGUUUGAAACCACAGCUAUUUUACUUCACAAGGGCCAAGUUUUACUUCUCAAAUCUCAGUGAAGAGGGGGCAUGUACUCCCAGCAGGUUUCUCCUCUCCUUGCAGGAUGCUGCAGGGCUACGGGGAGGGCAGCUCUGAACCAAAAGAAAGUCCUGGAGCAGCCAAAGGUGUGGGAUGUGAAGAUGGUGUGGGGCUGUAGAAGUUUCCAAUACAAUCCUUUGUUUUUUCUCCUUAAGAAAAAUGCUAUUUCCAAAAAAUAAAAUCUGAACUGAAAGAAAGCUUAGUAUGUGUAUGGGAACUGUUGAAUCACAGCCUGAACCUCUCAUUAACCACUUGAGGCAAGCACUGAGUCAGCUCCAGGGGCACAGGUGAAUGCAAUUUCACCUGAGUGACCAGAAGCCUGGCUCCACCCCUCCUAGACCCCAUUUAAGGGCUGACUCCCAAGGAGGAAGGAUCUCUCUCAGGAGAUCCUUCCUCUUGGAGCCCUUCUGCAAGCCCAGGACACAGGGUCCAUCCGACAAAUGAAGAAAACCUGUCUUUAAAACUCAUCUUCUGAUCUACUAAACUCAUCUACUGAUCUUUAGUAAAGCAAACGGCUUCAGCCUGAGAAUGCCGAUGUGAAGCAUUCUGAUAUUUAAGGAAGAAAAGAAGGAUGCCUAUUGUUUUGCCUUGUCGUUGACUGACUCCAGCCCAGAACUGGGAGUUAUUUUGGUUUCCAUCCUUUUCCCAGGAGAUUUCAUUUUUUAACUCAUGUAACACUCUCUAAUUCAGUUUGAAGUAGAAAUGACCAGACUCAGUAAGGCUCACAAGAACAUGGCGGAGCUGCCAGUUUGCACAAAUAUCAGACAAAACAGUUCCAUUUUCCACCACCCCCCCUCCCCUUUGCAUUUUGGGUUUCCUUUGAAAUUGUACCUAGACUUCAGAGGAAGCAUGGGGUCCUCAGGACCAGCUGCUCCUCAAACACACACAACAAAACCAUCCAGGCCCACAUGCUCUGCCAUGUAACCUGCACACCACAAAAAUUCAGAUGCCAUCUUCAGUCCUGCAAAAUAUUAAGCCAGGCAUUUAAGAUUCACCCAAUGAUUAAGCAUGAGCAGCUUGUAAUCGUUUCCAGAUUCCUCUCCUAGCAGGAGGAAAGGCUCCGCAAUUCCUGUCUGCGUGCUCAGUGUAGCAAUGUGCUCCCAAACAGACUGAAGAUGGGUUGAAGAGGACAAAACUGAUACCCCGAGCUUUGCAGCUGAGACCAAGCCAGCAUUACCUUUUAAUCCAACACGAUAACCUUGGAAAAGCAGGGUUAUUUAGCCAGCAUACAUCAGGGUACUUCCACAUCAUCUGUGUAGCAACACCUGUGCACCAGCAACUAGAAACCCCCUUACAUACACACUAAGACUGUCUGCAUUUUUUCAUCUGGCUUGGGAGCAUUAAAUGAAGAUCAACUGUUGGAAUCAGCCUCGCUUAGGGAAGCAGACUGUCUGUGCUCACAGACAGGACCUUUCUCCUCCAGGUUUUAUAGAAAGCCCAAGACUGCAGCCUUUCUGCAGAGGCCACAGUGUAACCCAGGGAGCAUCUGGAUCCUUCCCUUCAUGCCAAUUCAGCCAUAUAUUUUUCCCCCAGACUGCUUGGCCAUGAAAAAAAAAGAUCUUUGAAAACCUGCUCAGGGCUUCAAAACCCUCAGCAGCCCCAGCCUGAAAGCAAACUCAGGUCUCCCCACUGCCUUUGAACACAGUGGGGAUCUGCUCCAGCAGGUUAGCUCUCAGGGCCAUGUUGCUCCCUGCAGCUAAACCAGACGACGUGAAAUGGCAAGUACCUCUUAAUUUUUAUUAUUUUUAAACAGGAUAGUUUAAGAGCUAUGGAUUUUUUUUAUUAUUAUUAUUAUUACUAUUUUACUGGCAAAUUUAGUGUGCUGCCUUCCCUCCUUAAUGAAGGGAACCAAGAGCUGGUGCUCAGCUCCUGCUUUCUAGAAGCAGUCCCUGCAAACCUACUGUGAAUAACCAUGUCACCUCCCCAUUCUCCAUCUCCAGAGCAAGAAAGCAGCUUUCAUCAGCUCAGACCAUUUUUUCUUUUCUUGCCUCUUUACCUUCGCCUUUCCUCCAAGUUCCAUUUAUCUCCAAGCCCAUGUCUGAGACAAGGACCUACGGCUUGCACCAUCCCUUCAUGUGCAAAAAGAGAAGGGUACUGUUCCAGGAUGGAAACCUGGAUGCACUCCUCAAGGAGAUCAUCUCUGAUCAAGGGUGAGGGGUUCACCACCCUCAUUCAUCACCUCCUUAGCCUGUCAGUGUGGGGAGGUGGGAAAGGAACAACAGCACCAAUGGGCAGAGACUAUCCAUUGGACUCACGCAAUCAUCCAGUUUUACUGGGAUUUCUCCUCUACAGGCUGAGCUGUGUCUGCUCCCUCCAUGCACCAUCACCCACGGGAAAACCACACUGCAGGAACGAGGGCCAGGGUUUCAAAGUUGGGACAGAUUUGCCCCUCACCAUUAAUUUGCAGUCCCCCAUGGGCUGUUGCGGCAUGGAAGCCAUUAACAUUUAAAAAUACUUGCAGGAAUGGGAAGGGGGGAAAGAAUGGUAUUUGCAGAGGCCCAUUCCUCAGCACACUUUCAUGUGUGCCAAAGUUUGUUGGCAUGGCUCUGAGUUUGAUAGGGAACAUCUGGGCUGUUGCUGCCUGGAUCCUGACUGAGGGCAGCAAACAAAGGGGGUUUGUGCAGGAAUGCAUGAGGAGGGGGCAGCUCAGAGGCAAAACAAGAAGACUCAGGAGAAAGCCAAAUGCACACCCCAGCUUUUUCCAAGGAGAUACAAGCCUCCCCCUUCCAUAUUUUUCUCCCCAGAGUACGCUGCAGCUACAAUAGCAAGGCUCCAACGUGGCUCAGUACCCCACUACCUGUGAUCAGGUCAACUGCCUAAGGAGGUGCUUGGGAGCUCCAAAGAGUGGACAUGCAAAUCAGGACUGCCACCUGGAGCCAGAUUUCCACUCCUUCCACCUCUGGGCCCCCCUCAAAGCCACGCCAGAGAAGGUAGUUGAGUAGGGCACUGGGACAAGCAUCCUUCUUACUUCCUCCUGCUUUGCCUCUGCAGUUCCCCCCCUUCCUGACCUGGGCAGCCUUUGGGAAAGAUCUGCUGUCAUCCUGGAUGAUUUCAGACCUUACAGUAGAGGUUCAUUAGCAUCUUUAGCAACUUUGGAGAUCCACAUGAAGCAAAGUCAUACCUGCAGGACCUCAAUGUUUGAGGCAGUGAAGGAUGCUGAAUUUCAAUGAUACCCACAGAAGGCGAGCUGGUCCCAUGCUGUUGCUGGCUCAGCACCCGUUUGCCUGGAUUUGUCCCUGGAACAACAAAGAAGAGCCCAGCGAGGGGUCAGCAUGGUUCAUUUGCCCUUUGGCCACAGCUUGCCAACAGGAUCCAGCUGAAUAGCUGCCAGUGCAGCGGGCUGGUGGGAAAAUGCUUGUGGAGCUUCUUGUAGGCAAGGGGAGCUCAAACACUUGUUUCAUCUUGGAAAUGUGUGCCAUUUUUUUCCAAGUUGUCCAAACAUUUGGCUUCUGUAUUUCCAUCAGUGACACAUCCCAGGGUUUCUAAUUGAAAAGGUCUUUUCUCUGCAUGGUUAGGCUGCUUGUAGAAAAAAAGAAAACAGGAAGCUUGAAAUUAUCAAAGAAAAAUAUUUUCAUUGACCUAGAAAUUUCUUACCCUUCAGUUUCUUGGUUAGUACAUUUUUCAAGACUCUUCAUCUCCAUGAGAGAAAUACUGUCAUUACUAUAUCUCAAAAAUGCCAACCGAAGGAAAGAGUUAAUAAUUACCAACAUCUAUUUUUAACCUGAUACCACCAGUCACAUCUCACAGAUGGCAGCUGGACUCCCUUGAGGCUCUGCCAUUGACUUUAUCAAUGCUUUGAAGCCAGAGAGGAUUUAAGUGGGUGGGACAUUCCCCAGCUCUAUGCUAACAGAGUCAGAACAGCAGCUGUUACAGAUAGGUAGGAGCUGGGAGCAUCUCUAAAGCAUCUGUGCUCAAGAAACAUUUAGAUGUUGUACUAAGGGACACUGUUUAGUGGGGAAUAUUGGUGAUAAGUGGACUGUUGGAUGGGAUGAUCUUCGAGAUCUUUUCCAGCCUUGAUGAUGCUAUGAUGAUGCUAUGAUUCUACAACUGCCCUGCCAGUUUCUGGUGUCACAUGCCUCCAUCAUCCAUCUACCACUGAAAAUAAACUGCUCGUUUCUUUCUCCCCCUCAGUUCCAUAACUCAAAGGAUGAGAUAGAUUUUUCUGCACGUUUCCAAGAAGUUUGCCACCAGGCAAGGACCAGGCAUGCAAAACCUUCAACCUGAGACAUGAAUGUUUGCAAAAGUUAUUAGCUUAUGAAAACAGCUCUAAUGGAAACUGUUUUACUGCCAUCAUUUUAACGCUACGAACAGAGCCUGCUGCAAUAUAUAACAUUAUCAAGUGCCUGUCAGCAUUUAAUAGAAGCCAUAAUUAACUGCUGUGGAAGAACAUAGCAAAAAGUUUAUUCUUAGGAAAACUUUUGGGAGCUGCAUAAUUCUGGCCUUAUUUCUUUCUUAUAAUCCCUCUCUACACGAGCCUUAAUAAAGUUCAUAGGACAGAGUGAAUACAGGACACAGGCGUGUAUCUUGUAGUAUUAGCGAUAGGAUUUUCUUUUCUGUUAAACUACAUAAUCCAGAAACAACAGUGAUGUUUGCUUUGGGACCUGGCCAGGCACUCAGCUCUGGAUUCAGCCUUCCUGACUGGUGCAACUUUCUCAUUUCCAUUGGCUAAAGGUGCUCACAGCCAGGGCUUGGCAGUCCCCAUUUCAGGGUGUCCACCUCCUGGUGCUUCGUGCCCCACAUCAACACAACCAAAGAAACUCAGACAAUUGAGAGGCCUGGCUCUCCCCCAUUCUAUCAAUCUUGUGCCCAAAACCCACUUUAUUCCCCCAGCUCUGCAGGCUGGCAGGCCACUUCCAUCUCCCCCAAUAGCCCAACAGCUGUUCUCUGUCCCUUCGGAGAUUAGUUUGUUUUCCUAAUGCAAUUACCGCCACGUGGCUCUGCUUUCUGCACAGAUCAAGCCUGGAUAGAGAUAAAGCAGUGAUAAAACUGCCUGCUGCUGCCAACCACGCUGCUCAUAGAGACACAAGCUGAGCCUGUCCUAUGGGCACACUGGGACUGCAGGGUCCCUGCUGCCCCGAGCUCCACAAAACCUCAGCACUGCUGGGCCAACAUCUGGCUGAACACCCACCUGCCUGCACCCAGGGCAGCUCCUGCACUCAGCCCAAGCCUACCCCAUGAAGAUGUUGGUCAACAGCAUCCCCUGUGCAGAGCAUCCUGCAGGCACAGGACCUAAGGGACACAGCUAGUGGGCAUGAUUGUGAUGGGUUGAUGGAUGGACUAAGUGAUCUCAGUGGUCUUUUUACAACCUAAAUGAUUCCAUGACCCAGCCCUGAUGCUUUCCAGCACCUCCUGAGGUCCCCUCGUUGUCCCCAACCCACAUGUGGGCACAGUGGCAGUGAGCCCACAGCACCAUGGGGCACACUGGGAGGAGACACCCAGAGCUGCGCUGCCUGCAGGAGACGCACAUCCUCGCCAGAUGUCUCCCAUAAAGCUGCAAGCACUUUAUUUUAAUAAUAAGUCUUAAUGUAUUCAUUAAAGGCUCCCAGUGACCUGGGAUGAAUUUCCCCACUAUUGUAAAGGGCUGUGGGAAUCUGGAAACCGCUGCAUUACAGUUAAUAACUUUAAUUUUACAAGGCCCAAAAUAGACAACUGAAAAAAUACACAAACUCACUGUUUCCAAUUAAGAAGGGAUUUCUUCUAAUUCCUCUGCCACCGGCACUCUUGUUUAGCAAACAGCAUCGGCCGACAUUCAGCCAUAGGCAAGGGGAAAGCGCUGAGCAUCCAGCACCUCAUCUGUAAGAGGCAAGGAAGAGGACAUGAGUUCUUCUCCCCAUCGCUGAUCAGUGACAGCAAACCCAGACUGGGGGAGCCAAGGGCAAACCGUAGUGCCUGCUUAGCCUUAGUGGGUACUCAAACACCAGAUGGCUUCCAACCAUCCUCUCCCUGCUCCGUCCUGGGAAGGCUCCUGCACCCCCUCAUAUUUGAGGCUGGACACACCUCAGGUUUUAGGGCCAAGAAGGAAUGUUCCCCCCAGAUCAGUUUACAUUGUGUUUACUGUCUCCUCCUUCCUCUGUAGAGCAAUGGAUAGGUAGGACUCCAUAGAAAAAAAAAAGAGAUGGGAGCAGAAAACAAAAGUUCUCCCUGAUUUUUUUUUGUUUAGUUUUUUGGCCAUCUAACACUUUCCAGCCCAAAUCUUUUAACUUUCAGUUGGACUCCUUUUUUGCUUUCCAGUUAAAAGCAGAGUUCUCCAAGAAGACGAGAGACACUCUAUAUGGGAAUUUACUCAUCACAAGCCAGGCAUUCUGGGAAGGAGAAAGGAAUUUGUGAGUCCUCACUUGGUGCCACAGCUGCUGCCCAUGCACUGCUGUGAGCAGAACUGAGCUCCUGUAGCAGUGGGCUCACUUCUCCAGCCAUAGUGAAUCCAUAAAAUCCAUAGUGGUGAAAAGUGAUCUUCUUACGCCUCAAGCCCACAUUUCUCCAUAAACAUGGCAGCUCUGGGAGCUGGGGAUGGGGCACGGGGGCAUCACUACUGAGGAACGUGGGCAGGCACAUCCAUAGCUCUCUUUGAAUGCACUGGGAAGGGAACAUUUGCUCCUUGGUUUAAAGCCAUCUGAAUGCCUGGAGAUAAGCCCUAGCCACCAGCUGAUACUGGAGCUCAUACUUGUGCUCACAAGAGUCUGAAUGGGAAAGAUGCUCCUCGAGCUGAGCAGCCCCAGCCUCCCACCCAGGAUCAGCCAGAGAUAUUGAACCUAAAGCACCAAAAAUCCAUAGAAGCCAAACCUAUCAUGUCAACAAACAGCUACCAACCAAUGUCUCCUAUCCCCACAUGUCAGCUAUGGAGUGUCUCACAGCAAUGCCCUGCCUUCAAGAGGUUGAAACCUCCACCAUAGGAGUUUGGAGCCAGCGAUUUCUCAGUUCAAGGCAUCUUUCAAUAAUAAAUAACAAAAACAAAAUCAGAAAACCUAUUUAUGAAAAUAUGCCUGGCUUGUGUCAACUGUCAAAAAAAAAACGCUCAAAUUUCAGUCUCCAGCUGCAAGAAUCUUGGCUUUAAAUAAAAAACAUGAUUUUCAGGUUUAAGACAAAGAUUAAAGAAACCUUAGAGAACAAACUCUUGCUUUUGCUAACACCCUCCACAAUGGCCACGCUCAGAUUUCCAUCAAGUCCAGCUCCGGAGACCGCAAACGGAAUUGAGUUUGGGUGUGGGGACAGGCAGGAACAGCAGCAACUGGAACCCAAUAGCCGGGCAUCCCCAGCUCACCUCCAGGAGUUAAGGUAUUUCCCAGUGAUUUGGGUGAAAGCAGCAGCCCUGGGGGUGCCAGCUGCCCUGCCUAGCGGCACCAUGCAGGCUGCAGGCGAGCACAGCCGCUGCCUCCCCAUCUGGAGCCCAUGUACAGCAAGUGGCAAGAUUUAUGUCGUGCUGAAGCAUUCCACAGUUUUGAGCACAGAAAUGAUUGAACUCCAGAUGUUAACAAGAUGCAGGACCCCUUUUAUUAUUAUUAUUAAAAAUGUGAUUUCUUGUUUCGCUCAUGACAAAACCCAUCAGAUUAACUUAUUAGGAGUGGAACUGCCAUCAGGCUGGUGAUGAGGGAGGAUAGCCCUGGCUGCCUGACAGCACUGCCCAGCGCUGUGGUGUCCCCAUCCAUUGCAGUGGAACAGAGACAGUGCUUGCAGGAAAGCCCCCAGCCUGUUCAAAGGGAUCCAAACCUUUAGCAAAGGUUCUGCUCCUCCAGCAAGUGAGCUGCAGCAGGAACCUGCCUGUUGUCAUCUCAGCUCCUGUGGAUGGGAUGGAUGCAGGACUAUGGAUGCUGUGCCGCGACAACCCAGCUCCCAUGCUCCAAUUCCCUGCAGAGAGAGUAUUACCAAUGCCAUUUCCCAUUGGAAAGGAACCAAGUCCUCCAAUAUUCCCACAGGCACUGCCGGGAGCAUCCCUUGCGCAGCCAACAUCUGCAUCCCAGAGCAGGGUUGGGAGCUGUUGCAUUGUCACCAUGUUAUCACAGCAACUUGAUCGCACGCUCACAGCACACGCAUCUUUGCGCCGGGAGAUCAAACAGGUAUGGGAAAGCCCCACACCCCACUGUUGCCAAGCACUGCCCCACACUGAAAAUAAAUCCACCCAGAGGGAUGCCAGAGACAGAG